rnacentral:sRNA from 1 species
AUCAUAAGAAGAAGAAAAAAAAAGGAUAAGGAGGCACCAUACUU